GUGUGGACCGCUCAAAUGACCUAGUGGUUAGAGUGUCCGCCUCAGAUGCGGAAGGUCGCGGGUUUGAACCCCAAACGAAUCAUACC